UACAGAGGUCUCAAGCGUUGUUCGGAUUCAUUGGGCGUAAAGGGUGCGUAGGCGGCGAGGUAAGUCGGGUGUGAAAUCUCAGAGCUCAACUCUGAAACUGCACUCGAUACUGCUUUGCUUGAGGACUGGAGAGGAGAUUGGAAUUCACGGUGUAGCAGUGAAAUGCGUAGAUAUCGUGAGGAAGACCAGUGGCGAAGGCGGAUCUCUGGACAGUUCCUGACGCUGAGGCGCGAAGGCCAGGGGAGCAAACGGG
rnacentral:rRNA from 1 species